rnacentral:rRNA from 1 species
GACGAACGCUGGCGGCGUGCUUAACACAUGCAAGUCGAACGGAAAGGCCCUGCUUUUGUGGGGUGCUCGAGUGGCGAACGGGUGAGUAACACGUGAGUAACCUGCCCUUGACUUUGGGAUAACUUCAGGAAACUGGGGCUAAUACCGUAUAGGAGCUCCUGCUGCAUGGUGGGGGUUGGAAAGUUUCGGCGGUUGGGGAUGGACGCGCGGCUUAUCAGCUUGUUGGUGGGGUAGUGGCUUACCAAGGCUUUGACGGGUACCCGGCCUGAGAGGGUGACCGGCGACAUUGGGACUGAGAUACGGCCCAGACUGCUACGGGAGGCAGCAGUGGGGAAUCUUGCACAAUGAGCGGAAGCCUGAUGCAGCAACGCCGCGUGCGGGAUGACGGCUUUCGGGUUGUAAACCGCUUUCGCCUGUGACGAAGCGUGAGUGACGGUAAUGGGUAAAGAAGCACCGGCUAACUACGUG